rnacentral:tRNA from 1 species
GGGGCUGUGGCUCAGCGGUGCAGCGCUCGCCUAGCAUGUGCGAGGCCCUGGGUUCGAUCCUCAGCACCCCA